rnacentral:rRNA from 1 species
CCUACGGGAGGCAGCAGUGAGGAAUAUUGGUCAAUGGGCGAGAGCCUGAACCAGCCAAGUCGCGUGAGGGAGUACUGCCCUAUGGGUUGUAAACCUCUUUUGUCGUGGAGCAAAAGCCGGACGUGUCCGGCUGUGAGAGUACCCGAAGAAAAAGCAUCGGCUAACUCCGUGCCAGCAGCCGCGGUAAUACGGAGGAUGCGAGCGUUAUCCGGAUUUAUUGGGUUUAAAGGGUGCGCAGGCGGGUUUUUAAGUCAGCGGUAAAAUCGUGGGGCUCAACCCCAUCCAGCCGUUGAAACUGGGGAUCUAGAGUGUGCGAGAGGUAUGCGGAAUGCGUGGUGUAGCGGUGAAAUGCAUAGAUAUCACGCAGAACCCCGAUUGCGAAGGCAGCAUACCGGUGCACAACUGACGCUCAGGCACGAAAGCGUGGGUAUCGAACAGGAUUAGAUACCCGAGUAGUC